rnacentral:rRNA from 1 species
GACGAACGCUGGCGGCGUGCUUAACACAUGCAAGUCGAACGGAAGGGCCCUGCUUUUGUGGGGUGCUCGAGUGGCGAACGGGUGAGUAACACGUGAGUAACCUGCCCUUGACUUUGGGAUAACUUCAGGAAACUGGGGCUAAUACCGGAUAGGAGCUCCUGCUGCAUGGUGGGGGUUGGAAAGUUUCGGCGGUUGGGGAUGGACUCGCGGCUUAUCAGCUUGUUGGUGGGGUAGUGGCUUACCAAGGCUUUGACGGGUAGCCGGCCUGAGAGGGUGACCGGCGAGCGGGGGAGGGGGAGGGGGCCCGGCGCAGCAGGGGAGGGGGGGGGGGGGAAUAGGGAGGAGGGGGAGGGAGCCGGACGCGGCGGGGCGGGGGGCGGGAUGGGGGCCGGCGGGUGGGAAGCGCGGUUGGGCGGGGCGGAGGGGGGGUGGGGGAUAGCGGACAAGGAAGCAGCGGCAAACGACGUGCCAGCGGCCGGGGUAAUAAGCGUAAGAGCAGGCGUCUGAAC